GAACAGGGAUGUGCUUGAACCCUGGAAGCCCCUCGGGCUCUGAUCUCAGCGAUUCUGGCCAUCACAGCCACUCGGUUACUGUAACCGGCGCCGUCAUGCCUCCAUCCUCUUCCCCUCACCAAUCCCAUCAGAUGGAACAAAUCACGGCUGCUAUCACCGACACCACCACUCCCCUCAUCAUCUACGAGGAUCCAGUAACCUCCCUCACCCUCUCCCUCCCCCUCCCCCUCCCCGGAACAGCUCACAUGGACACCUCCUCCGAGCCACAUCACCAGAGAAGCACCGACAACAACAACCACC
rnacentral:lncRNA from 1 species